CAAAAGUAGGUAUUCUGUGUUAUCUUCUUUUACCAAUCACAUAUCAAAAAUCCAUAAAAAUCGUGCUGUUCAAAUAAGGAAAGAUAAAACACCAAAAC
rnacentral:lncRNA from 13 species